UACGUAGGGGGCAAGCGUUGUCCGGAUUUAUUGGGCGUAAAGAGCGUGUAGGCGGCUGGGUAGGUCCGUUGUGAAAACUCGAGGCUCAACCUCGAGACGCCGAUGGAAACCCUCCAGCUAGAGUCCGGAAGAGGAGAGUGGAAUUCCUGGUGUAGCGGUGAAAUGCGCAGAUAUCAGGAGGAACACCGAUGGCGAAGGCAGGUCUCUGGGCCACUACUGACGCUGGAGAAGCGAAAGCAUGGGGAGCGAACAGG
rnacentral:rRNA from 1 species